rnacentral:rRNA from 1 species
GACGAACGCUGGCGGCGUGCUUAACACAUGCAAGUCGAACGGAAAGGCCCUGCUUUUGUGGGGUGCUCGAGUGGCGAACGGGUGAGUAACACGUGAGUAACCUGCCCUUGACUUUGGGAUAACUUCAGGAAACUGGGGCUAAUACCGGAUAGGAGCUCCUGCUGCAUGGUGGGGGUUGGAAAGUUUCGGCGGUUGGGGAUGGACUCGCGGCUUAUCAGCUUGCUGGUGGGGUAGUGGCUUACCAAGGCUUUGACGGGUAGCCGGCCUGAGAGGGUGACCGGCCACAUUGGGACUGAGAUACGGCCCAGACUCCUACGGGCGGCAGCAGGCGGGAAUAUGGCACAAUGGGCGGAAGCCUGAUGCAGCAACGCCGCGUGCGGGAUGCCGGCCUUCGGGUUGUAAACCGCUUUCUCCUGUGACGAAGCGUGAGUGACGGUAAUUGGUAAAGAAGCACCGGCUAACUACGUG